AAUCCUAAACUCAAAGUUUUGUCUUUUUUCUUCAUCGUGUUUUUCACCUUCAGAUUCUCUUCAAUCUAAAUACAUAGCUACCACCUUAGAAAAGCAUAAAAGUCAUAGCUACCGCCAUGGGCAAGGAGGAGGUGUCAGUGGCCUUGAAAAAUAAGUUUCAAAAUCGAUGAUUCCCCAAAGCUAUGAAGUAGGAGCUGGAACCUAGAAUCAAGAACUGGGACUUUAGAUAUCUGGGGGUGGCUAGUGUAGUACCUAUAUGGUUCCUUGAGUUGCUAGAUACGUAAAUAAACAAAGGGGGGAGAGAGAGAGUUUUGGUGUCUUAGAAGUGGAGGAGUAAGAAGUCAGGUGACGAAUAAAUAAGUUUGACGUUAUUUUCCUACAAUGAUGUUUUUAAUAAGGUGAUAUACAUAUGUGUUAUUGAUCAUGCUUGGGUUCCUAGAUAAGAACUUGGAAUAUAGUUGAUCUUUU